rnacentral:rRNA from 1 species
UACGUAGGUGGCAAGCGUUGUCCGGAUUUAUUGGGUUUAAAGGGUGCGUAGGUGGCCCUGUAAGUCAGUGGUGAAAUAUCUCAGCUUAACUGAGAGGGUGCCAUUGAUACUGCAGGGCUUGAGUACAGAUGAGGUAGGCGGAAUUGACGGUGUAGCGGUGAAAUGCAUAGAUAUCGUCAAGAACACCGAUAGCGAAGGCAGCUUACCGAGCUGUAACUGACACUGAGGCACGAAAGUGUGGGGAUCAAACAGG